GGCCAGGGCGAGCAGAACAAGGAAAUCAAACAGCUUCUGGAGCGUCUCGCCCGUCAGCCCGAAAACAAUUGAGCCGGAGAUAGCAGCUUAUGGCGCUUUCGCGUUCACGCCGCAGCGACAGCGGCUUCAAUUACUGGCCGGGCUUCGUCGAUGCGCUGUCGACGCUGGUUCUCGCCAUUGUGUUUCUGCUGUCGGUGUUUCUCGUGGUGCAGUUCUUCCUGU
rnacentral:misc_RNA from 1 species